GAGUGGCGAACGGGUGAGUAACACGUGGGUAACCUGCCCAUCAGAAGGGGAUAACACUUGGAAACAGGUGCUAAUACCGUAUAACAAUCGAAACCGCAUGGUUUUGAUUUGAAAGGCGCUUUCGGGUGUCGCUGAUGGAUGGACCCGCGGUGCAUUAGCUAGUUGGUGAGGUAACGGCUCACCAAGGCCACGAUGCAUAGCCGACCUGAGAGGGUGAUCGGCCACAUUGGGACUGAGACACGGCCCAAACUCCUACGGGAGGCAGCAGUAGGGAAUCUUCGGCAAUGGACGAAAGUCUGACCGAGCAACGCCGCGUGAGUGAAGAAGGUUUUCGGAUCGUAAAACUCUGUUGUUAGAGAAGAACAAGGAUGAGAGUAACUGUUCAUCCCUUGACGGUAUCUAACCAGAAAGCCACGGCUAACUACGUGCCAGCAGCCGCGGUAAUACGUAGGUGGCAAGCGUUGUCCGGAUUUAUUGGGCGUAAAGCGAGCGCAGGCGGUUUCUUAAGUCUGAUGUGAAAGCCCCCGGCUCAACCGGGGAGGGUCAUUGGAAACUGGGAGACUUGAGUGCAGAAGAGGAGAGUGGAAUUCCAUGUGUAGCGGUGAAAUGCGUAGAUAUAUGGAGGAACACCAGUGGCGAAGGCGGCUCUCUGGUCUGUAACUGACGCUGAGGCUCGAAAGCGUGGGGAGCAAACAGGAUUAGAUACCCUGGUAGUCCACGCCGUAAACGAUGAGUGCUAAGUGUUGGAGGGUUUCCGCCCUUCAGUGCUGCAGCUAACGCAUUAAGCACUCCGCCUGGGGAGUACGACCGCAAGGUUGAAACUCAAAGGAAUUGACGGGGGCCCGCACAAGCGGUGGAGCAUGUGGUUUAAUUCGAAGCAACGCGAAGAACCUUACCAGGUCUUGACAUCCUUUGACCACUCUAGAGAUA
rnacentral:rRNA from 1 species